rnacentral:rRNA from 1 species
UAUACGGGAGGCAGCAGUGGGGAAUAUUGCACAAUGGGCGCAAGCCUGAUGCAGCCAUGCCGCGUGUAUGAAGAAGGCCUUCGGGUUGUAAAGUACUUUCAGCGGGGAGGAAGGUGUUGAGGUUAAUAACCUCAGCGAUUGACGUUACCCGCAGAAGAAGCACCGGCUAACUCCGUGCCAGCAGCCGCGGUAAUACGGAGGGUGCAAGCGUUAAUCGGAAUUACUGGGCGUAAAGCGCACGCAGGCGGUCUGUCAAGUCGGAUGUGAAAUCCCCGGGCUCAACCUGGGAACUGCAUUCGAAACUGGCAGGCUAGAGUCUUGUAGAGGGGGGUAGAAUUCCAGGUGUAGCGGUGAAAUGCGUAGAGAUCUGGAGGAAUACCGGUGGCGAAGGCGGCCCCCUGGACAAAGACUGACGCUCAGGUGCGAAAGCGUGGGAGCAAACAGGAUUAGAUACCCUGGUAGUCCACGCCGUAAACGAUGUCGACUUGGAGGUUGUGCCCUUGAGCGUGGCUUCCGGAGCUAACGCGUUAAGUCGACCGCCUGGGGGAAUACGGCCGCAAGGUUAAAACUCAAAUGAAUUGACGGGGGCCCGCACAAGCGGUGGAACAUGUGGUUUAAUUCGAUGCAACGCGAAAAUUUACCUACUCUUGACUUCCAGAGAACUUUCCAGAAAUGUUUUGUGGCUUCGGGAACUCUGAAACAGGUGUUGCAUGGCUGUCC